CCAUGGUGUUUACUCUCAGUGCC
rnacentral:piRNA from 1 species